rnacentral:misc_RNA from 1 species
GAUGAAGAACGUAGCGAAAUGCGAUACUUGGUGUGAAUUGCAGAAUCCCGUGAACCAUCGAGUCUUUGAACGCAAGUUGCGCCCGAAGCCAUUAGGCCGAGGGCACGCCUGCCUGGGCGUCACACGUCGUUGCCCCCCCAUCUACUCCUUCGGGAUUGCGGGGGGCGGAUGAUGGCCUCCCGUGCGCCUCGUCGCGCGGUUGGCAUAAAUGCCAAGUCCUCGGCGACGCACGCCACGACAAUCAGUGGUUGCGAAACCUCGGUUGCCCGUCGUGUGCGUUCGUCGCGCAUCGAGGGCUCGAAAAAAUGCUCGGCUCCGGCUCGGCUUUCAACGCGACCCCAGGUCAGGCGGGGUUACCCGCUGAAUUUAAGCAUAUCAAUAAGCGGAGGA